rnacentral:rRNA from 1 species
UACGGAGGGUGCAAGCGUUAAUCGGAAUUACUGGGCGUAAAGCGUGCGCAGGCGGCUUUGCAAGUCAGAUGUGAAAUCCCCGGGCUCAACCUGGGAACUGCAUUUGUGACUGCAUGGCUGGAGUGCGGCAGAGGGGGAUGGAAUUCCGCGUGUAGCAGUGAAAUGCGUAGAUAUGCGGAGGAACACCGAUGGCGAAGGCAAUCCCCUGGGCCUGCACUGACGCUCAUGCACGAAAGCGUGGGGAGCAAACAGG